GACGAACGCUGGCGGCGUGCUUAACACAUGCAAGUCGAACGGAAAGGCCCUGCGUUGGUGGGGAGCUCGAGUGGCGAACGGAUGAGUAACACGUGAGUAACCUGCCCUUGACUUAGGGAUAACUUCAGGAAACUGGGGCUAAUACUGGAUAGCAGCUCCUGCUGCAUGGUGGGGGUUGGAAAGUUUCGGCGGUUGGGGAUGGACUCGCGGCUUAUCAGCUUGUUGGUGGGGUAGUGGCUUACCAAGGCUUUGACGGGUAGCCGGCCUGAGAGGGUGACCGGCCACAUUGGGACUGAGAUACGGCCCAGACUCCUACGGGAGGCAGCAGUGGGGAAUAUUGCGCAAUGGGCGGAAGCCUGAUGCAGCAACGCCGCGUGCGGGAUGACGGCCUUCGGGUUGUAAACCGCUUUCGCCUGUGACGAAGCGUAAGUGACGGUAAUGGGUAAAGAAGCACCGGCUAACUACGUG
rnacentral:rRNA from 1 species